rnacentral:rRNA from 1 species
UACGGAGGAUGCAAGCGUUAUCCGGAAUGAUUGGGCGUAAAGCGUCCGCAGGUGGCUAUGUAAGUCUGCUGUUAAAGAGUCUAGCUCAACUAGAUAAGAGCAGUGGAAACUACAUGGCUAGAGUGCGUUCGGGGCAGAGGGAAUUCCUGGUGUAGCGGUGAAAUGCGUAGAGAUCAGGAAGAACACCGGUGGCGAAGGCGCUCUGCUAGGCCGCAACUGACACUGAGGGACGAAAGCUAGGGGAGCGAAUGGG